GUAUCGGACAGGAACUGCACCUGCGUUAUCUCCUAGGAAUUUCUUCUUUGCCGUCUUCCUCUUAUCGGCGUGCAUCUGGCGACAUUCUGACAGGUUACCUGCAGAGUUCCUAGACUGGGCUGGCUUCGGUGGAAGUGCAGAUUCUGACUGUGGAGAGGAACCUUUGCUAAGCAAGGUUCAACAGAGGCCACGAGAUGUGUUAGAGGCAGAGUCAUUGGACAAUAAAUUUGCAGGCAUUGAAGAGAAAAACCAAUUCUCCCUUGAAGAGUUUCUGAAAACUAAAGCAAAACUCAUCAGAAUAGAAGACACCAGCAGCAUAAUUUAUUCAGAGGAAGCCACCAGGUGCUAACUGAGAUUUGAAAAUAAAUCCCUACCUUUGAAACGUCAGGCACGGCUCGGAAUAUAAGCAAGACUUUCCUAGGACCUGAAACGGACUUCAACCUGCUGUUAAAGAAUUAUUUAAAGAAUAACAGACCAGGCACUGUGGGUCACUCCUGUAAUUCCAGCACUUUGGGAGGCUGAAGCUGUAGAUCACUUGAGGAGUUCGAGACCAGCCUGGCCAACAUGGUGAAACCCCAUCUCUACCAAAAAUACAAAAAUUAGCCCAGCGUGGUGGUGUGUGCCUGUAAUCCCAGCUACUCAGGAGGCUGAGGCAGAAGAAUUGCUUGAACCCAGGAGCCAGAGGCUGCAGUAAGCCGAGAUCGCGCCACUGCGCUCCAGCCUGGGUG